GACUCUAUGGCUCAAUUGGCAGAGCAUCGGAUUCCAAUGACUGGAAUUCCCGGUUUGAAAAAUCCGAAGGUUACAGGUUCAAGUCCUGUUAGGGUCA
rfam:Candida tropicalis MYA-3404 genomic scaffold supercont3.5, whole genome shotgun sequence.